rnacentral:rRNA from 1 species
UGCAGUCGAACGGUAACAGCACUUCGGUGGCUGACGAGUGGCGAACGGGUGAGUAAUACAUCGGAACGUGCCCGAGAGUGGGGGAUAACGCAGCGAAAGCUGUGCUAAUACCGCAUACGAUCUACGGAUGAAAGCAGGGGACCGCAAGGCCUUGCGCUCAUGGAGCGGCCGAUGGCAGAUUAGGUAGUUGGUGGGAUAAAAGCUUACCAAGCCGACGAUCUGUAGCUGGUCUGAGAGGACGACCAGCCACACUGGGACUGAGACACGGCCCAGACUCCUACGGGAGGCAGCAGUGGGGAAUUUUGGACAAUGGGCGAAAGCCUGAUCCAGCCAUGCCGCGUGCAGGAUGAAGGCCUUCGGGUUGUAAACUGCUUUUGUACGGAACGAAAAGGUCUUUUCUAAUAAAGAAGGCUCAUGACGGUACCGUAAGAAUAAGCACCGGCUAACUACGUGCCAGCAGCCGCGGUAAUACGUAGGGUGCAAGCGUUAAUCGGAAUUACUGGGCGUAAAGCGUGCGCAGGCGGUUAUAUAAGACAGAUGUGAAAUCCCCGGGCUCAACCUGGGAACUGCAUUAGUGACUGUAUAGCUAGAGUGCGGCAGAGGGGGAUGGAAUUCCGCGUGUAGCAGUGAAAUGCGUAGAUAUGCGGAGGAACACCGAUGGCGA